CAGGAAUCGAGCAAAAAGUCCGUGUCUCGCGUCAUCUCGGCUCAGGACACUCUGGUAGAGAACGCGAAAGAGCAAGCGAGUUCGCUGAGCAAUAUGAUCGCCCAGGCCACAAAGUGAAACGUAUAAAUUUUUUUAGCCUUCCUUUAUAUAUUCUGCUCACGGCAUAUCUCCUUCAAUGCCAUGACUACGCCAACUUCGUUCCAGUA